CCCUUAGAUGUUCUGGGCCGCACGCGCGCUACACUGACGAAUGCAACGAGCUUAUAACCUUGGCCGAAAGGUCUGGGUAAUCUCCAAAUUUCGUCGUGAUGGGGAUAGAUUAUUGCAAUUAUUAAUCUUCAACGAGGAAUGCCUAGUAAGCGCAAGUCAUCAGCUUGCGUUGAUUACGUCCCUGCCCUUUGUACACACCGCCCGUCGCUCCCACCGAUUGAAUGGUCCGGUGAAGCGUUCGGACCGUGGCCUUUGGACGGUUCGCCGUCUGUUGGCUGCGGGAAGUUCGUUAAACCUUAUCAUUUAGAGGAAGGAGAANUCGUAACA
rnacentral:rRNA from 1 species